rnacentral:rRNA from 1 species
AGCGAACGCUGGCGGCAGGCCUAACACAUGCAAGUCGAACGAACUCUUCGGAGUUUGUGGCGGACGAGUGGUUACCACGUGGUAACGUGCCUUUUGGUUCGGAAUAACUCAGGCAGACUUAUGCUCAUAACGAAUGUGCCCUUAGGGGGAAAGAUUUAUCGCCAUUAGAGCGGCCCGCGUCUGAUUAGCUAGUUGGUGAGGUAACGGCACACCAAGGCGACGUUGAGUAGCUGGGCGGAGCGGAUGACCUGCCACACCGGGAAUGAGACACGGCCUAGACUCGGACGGGACGGAGGAGAAUGGUGCCUUGCGCGCGGGAGGAAAGUCUGACGAAGCCACGUGGCGUGAAUGAGGAAGGUCGUAGGAUUGUAAUAUUCUCAGAGCGGGGGCGAUAAUGACGGUACCCGGAGAAGAAGCCCCGGCUAACUUCGUG